CUUUAUUCUAUAUUCCCCAGAGUGAAGUGCUGUGAUUGGUUUGCAGUCUACUAAGAUCAGCCCUUUUAUAUCUACAUGAAAGUGAAUCUGUGUAAGAGAAAACAUUAUCUGCUGCAUGUUAUCAUAACUCCAGCAAUGAAGCAGAUCCUGAAACAUUUAUUUACAUGGACAUCCUGGAGAGCUUCUUCUAGGGUUCUGUCCAGCGUAUCUCUGCAGUGCCAAAUGACCCAGGAGUCCUGGCAAAGACAGUCUUCAGGCUUUGGCAAUGGAGGGUUGGCCUACGUUUUCUCAACUGCCCAAAUAUUUUGACUUUCAAUCUCAGCAGGCAUCUCCUUCUCUUCCAUAGCAACAGUACAUUUGGGGGAUUAUUGUGUUUUUUUUUCCCUUCUACCUCCUGUGGGAGAAUAACACUAAUUCUAAGCUGGGAUAAAUGGCUAGAAUUCAGUAUGGCUCUGUUAGACUCUAUUUCUAGAGUAGAGUUAGACACAAUACUCAAAGACAGGCCUUCUUUUGGAGUCCUAGGGAAAAACAUAACCAAAUUAAAUAAAAUGUCAAUUUCUGGCUUGUAUUUUCUUUUCCAGUUGUGAUGUAUGUUAAAAUGAUAUUUUCCCUUUAAGAAAUGAAC
rnacentral:lncRNA from 1 species